GACGAACGCUGGCGGCGUGCUUAACACAUGCAAGUCGAGCGGUAAGGCCCUUUCGGGGGUACACGAGCGGCGAACGGGUGAGUAACACGUGGGUGACCUGCCCUCAGCUCUGGGAUAAGCCUGGGAAACCGGGUCUAAUACCGGAUAUGACUCCAUGACGCAUGUUGUGGGGUGAAAGCCUUGUGCGGCUGAGGAUGGGCCCGCGGCCUAUCAGCUUG
rnacentral:rRNA from 1 species